GGAUGUAGCCAAGUGGAUAAGGC
rnacentral:tRNA from 2 species